UGGGGAAUAUUGGACAAUGGGCGCAAGCCUGAUCCAGCCAUGCCGCGUGAGUGAUGAAGGCCCUAGGGUUGUAAAGCUCUUUUGUGCGGAAAGAUAAUGACGGUACCGCAAGAAUAAGCCCCGGCUAACUUCGUGCCAGCAGCCGCGGUAAUACGAAGGGGGCUAGCGUUGCUCGGAAUUACUGGGCGUAAAGGGUGCGUAGGCGGGUCUUUAAGUCAGAGGUGAAAUCCUGGAGCUCAACUCCAGAACUGCCUUUGAUACUGAGGAUCUUGAGUUCGGGAGAGGUGAGUGGAACUGCGAGUGUAGAGGUGAAAUUCGUAGAUAUUCGCAAGAACACCAGUGGCGAAGGCGGCUCACUGGCCCGAUACUGACGCUGAGGCACGAAAGCGUGGGGAGCAAACAG
rnacentral:rRNA from 1 species